AUUGAACGCUGGCGGCAGGCCUAACACAUGCAAGUCGAACGAGACGCGGACGGGUGAGUAAUGUCUGGGAACCUGCCUGAUGGAGGGGGAUAACUACUGGACACGGUAGCUAAUACCGCAUACCAUCGGAUGUGCCCAGGUGGGUGUAGCUAGUAGGUGGGGUAACGGCAAACCAAGGCGACGAUCCCUAGCUGGUCUGAGAGGAUGAUCAGCCACACUGGAACUGAGACACGGUCCAGACUCCGACGGGAGGCAGCAGUGGGGAAUAUUGGACAAUGGGCGCAAGCCUGAUGCAGCCAUGCCGCGUGUGUGAAGAAGGCCUUCGGGUUGUAAAGCACUUUCAGUGGGGAGGCGUUACCCGCAGAAGAAGCACCGGCUAACUCCGUGCCAGCAGCCGCGGUAAUUC
rnacentral:rRNA from 1 species